GAUGAAGAACGUAGCGAAAUGCGAUAAGUAAUGUGAAUUGCAGAAUUCAGUGAAUCAUCGAAUCUUUGAACGCACAUUGCGCCCGCCAGUAUUCUGGCGGGCAUGCCUGUUCGAGCGUCAUUUCAACCAUCAAGCCCUGCUUGCGUUGGGGUCCUGCGGCUGCCCACAGGCCCUGAAAACCAGUGGCGGGCUCGCUAGUCACACCGAGCGCAGUAAUACAUCUCGCUUUGGGCGUGCGGCGGGUUCUUGCCGUUAAACACCCCCUUUUUACCAAGGUUGAUCUCGGAUCAGGUAGGAAUACCCGCUGAACUUAAGCAUAUCAAUAAGCGGAGGA
rnacentral:misc_RNA from 1 species